GUACUACCGAAGAGUCCCAAACUAAGACGAAAUGGCUGUCUAGUAC
rnacentral:hammerhead_ribozyme from 1 species